CAUAGCAACUCAGAGCUUCAGGUUAAAAUCAAAAAGAAAGACAAACUGUGUUUCAGAACGAAACCUGCAGCUCUCCCAAGCCUCCUAAUAAUAACACACCUGUUUGUCUACUUCUGGUUGGCUACCAAUCACAGCAUGCGACGUUAAAUGUCAACACGGGUCCAGCGUGAGGGGUGUGUAGCCAAACUUUGACUUAGUGAAUACAACGAUUUGACACUACAGCAUUAGUCAGCGUCAAAUUCAAACAAGCACUGCCAUGCAGAGGGAAAGCAAACACAAUAUCGACAACAAAAUCAUACAUCAUGUUAGCAGUGCUGAAGCUAGCAGCUGUAAAAGGAAGUGCUAGCCAGCAGUGUCCAGUUAACGUCACGAUCCACGAGAGACCGACAGUCUGGACCAGUUUAAGGGUCUACUGCAGAUACUAGCUAUAUUAUUUUGUAGCAUAAGGUCGUCCAAGGCUCUGAUUUUUAAAGAACGUUUUAUUCAAACCGAGAACACAGACACAAACAGUCCCUGGGUCGCUAUGCUAAAAUUGGCGUGUCAACAUGGUCUUCUCCCGCUUGCUGCAAAAAACCAACCGACAGCGAAGAACCGGAUCGGAUUGCACCAUGGGACUUGGAGUCCAAAGGUGUUCCAGCGAAGCAAGUCGGUACAAUAUCAGGGUUCCAACAGGUUCCAACGCGUCCUGGAAAACCUGGAAAACAGUUGACCAGUUUUCCAGCACUGGAAAACACCUGGCAAAUGGGAGAAAAAGUAAAAUGUCCUGGAAAAAUAACG